rnacentral:rRNA from 1 species
AACGCGUGGGAAUGUACCCUUCUCUAUGGAAUAGCCUCGGGAAACUGAGAGUAAUACCAUAUACGCCCUUCGGGGGAAAGAUUUAUCGGAGAAGGAUCAGCCCGCGUAAGAUUAGAUAGUUGGUGGGGUAAUGGCCUACCAAGUCUACGAUCUUUAGCUGGUUUUAGAGGAUGAUCAGCAACACUGGGACUGAGACACGGCCCAGACUCCUACGGGAGGCAGCAGUGGGGAAUCUUAGACAAUGGGCGCAAGCCUGAUCUAGCCAUGCCGCGUGUGUGAUGAAGGCCUUAGGGUCGUAAAGCACUUUCGCCAGGGAUGAUAAUGACAGUACCUGGUAAAGAAACCCCGGCUAACUCCGUGCCAGCAGCCGCGGUAAUACGGAGGGGGUUAGCGUUGUUCGGAAUUACUGGGCGUAAAGCGCACGUAGGCGGAUCAGAAAGUUGGGGGUGAAAUCCCAGGGCUCAACCCUGGAACUGCCUCCAAAACUCCUGGUCUUGAGUUCGAGAGAGGUGAGUGGAAUUCCGAGUGUAGAGGUGAAAUUCGUAGAUAUUCGGAGGAACACCAGUG